ensembl:lncRNA
UGAGCCCAUGGGGAGUAGAGUGUUGGGCUGCCGCGUCACUCCUUCGGGCUGUGCCCGGCCGGGCUCCGCGGUAAACCCGGCCACCAGACGCUCGCUGUCGGGCCCUCCAUCUGGGCCUGGCUCCAAAUGGGGGCCCCGGGCUUCCUCCGGGCCGGGUAACUCCUUCCCUCUUCCGUUUUUUCAUGGGGAUCUUGAACCAUUCUUAGUCUGGCCCCUCGCCUGAGACCACUUUGCCAAGGGUAACCCUACCAGGAGCACAAGGCUCCCGACAACACAGCCCUCAGGUUCAUAGGGACACACAAACCUCUCCACCACGAUAAGGUGACGGUUCCCAGAGAGUGACACAAGAGACACACGGCUUAAAUACACAAGGGAGGUGCAGGUG